CCCAGGCUCAGCUGCUCUGAAAUGACCCCACUCCCUAGGAGGGGGCUACAGGAUCCAACUAUCAGGGAGGCCAAACAAGGAACGCCUUUCUUGGCAAAGGAGGAAAGGACCUGGGAGGCCCCCUUCGCUCAGGUGACCCACCUGACCCCCAUUGCAAACAGCUAUAAAUCCUCCUGCUUCCCCACCACAGCAUUCCCAGGCACUCCUUCUCUCACUGGAGCUGGGCCUGGCUCUGCAAAGCCUGUCAGUGCUGGAUGGCCUUGGAAGAGAUGUUGUAAGUAAAUUCACAGCUGAACAACAGUGGGAAUGGAAACCCUUAGAGCUGAUGGCUGUGACAUUACAGGUUCUAAUCAGAGCAGAUACCCAUUCUUCACUCUACUGAGUAAUUAAACUUCACCCUGCUGGAAGGCUCCCUGUGUUGGGCUGUGCUAUGUUACACUGACAAACAUGCACAGCAUUUCCAAAAGACAGAAUCAUCCUGACAGACUAACAUCACCAGUCAGCUUAAAAUUUGACUGAUCAUCUGUAACAGAGUCUCACUAACUGGUUUUCACAGAUGAGUAAGAACAGAUACUGCUGGGGUUUUUAAUUGCUACCAUCAAGCUUAAUUGGAGGUUCAAGCUGAAUGAGUGUAAGUAUACAGAGGCGGGUGUGGGAAUGUGUCCCAGAUUGCACCCACCACAUUCUUCUGGUUGUCUCUGGAAGGAGAUACCAUCAUUAUAGUAACCAUCCUUAGCCUUCCCACAGGUUUUUGGCUGGAUGGAGCCCAGAGCUUCUCUUCCCCACCUGCUGUGGACAACCAGCGAUAAUAUGUGGGAAGCUGACACUGCUCCCACCCUGUUCCUCUGGUUUGUACACACAACAGCCUCCACAAACAGAAUGAAAUCCACAUGGAAACAUUCACCAGGAAAAAAAAUCUCUGACAUGGAAGAGAUUGCACUGCCAAGGGGACUAGGAGGAGCACAGAGAGGAAGAGAGCUGCUGCUGAAUUCCUGUUGUUAAGAGCAGACCCAUGUGUCAUGCUUGUGGGGAGGGAUACCUUCUCCCAUCGCAGAGUUAUAGCACAGCCAGCAGCAAGUGCACCAGUGAUCUUGGCAAGUAUGUGUGGCCACCUAUCCAGAGAAGAAAAACACUGCUAUAGACACUGAGAAGAAACAGCCUUUUGCAGGAAAUUGCCUCAAUUGCUCUUAAGAGGAAAAUGCACACUCUGAGAGGAACGUUUUGGGUCUCCAUAGCUCCAUUGUGUGCUGUUUUGCAGAUGAAUUCCAGGGGCAGAAGGAAGAGUGUUUAUUUAACUUUUAUCAGCAUUUCUUCUGAACUUAUUUCAGUUCUGAAUGAAAGUAAAAACUGAUGGAAUGUGAUGGUUGUUGUAAUUACUGCUUUUAGCUCCCAUUUGUCUAGGAAGUGUGAAUCAUAAUUACUCAUGUCACAGGGAAGCUCCAAACAAGCCUUUCUCUAAAUUUCUUUGUGGAAAUACUCACACUCUUUACUUGCGCAUCUCUCCUCUGG